rnacentral:misc_RNA from 1 species
CCUAGAGUUGUAGCUUUGCCUGCUAUCUCUUACCCAUGUCUUUUGAGUACCUUCGUUUCCUCGGCGGGUCCGCCCGCCGAUUGGACAAUUUAAACCAUUUGCAGUUGCAAUCAGCGUCUGAAAAACUUAAUAGUUA